rnacentral:rRNA from 1 species
GCUUAACACAUGCAAGUCGAACGGAGUUUUAACGGAAGUUUCGGAUGGAAGUUAAGAACUAGUGGCGGACGGGUGAGUAACGCGUGGGUAACCUGCCUCAUACAGGGGGAUAACAGUUAGAAAUGACUGCUAACACCGCAUAAUAUAGUGAAACCGCAUGAUUUUUGCUAUCAAAUAGUUUAUAGGGUAUGAGAUGGGCCCGCGUCUGAUUAGCUAGUUGGUGGGGUAAAAGCCUACCAAGGCGACGAUCAGUAGCCGGCUUGAGAGAGUGACCGGCCACAUUGGGACUGAGACACGGCCCAAACUCCUACGGGAGGCAGCAGUGGGGAAUAUUGGACAAUGGGGGAAACCCUGAUCCAGCCGACGCCGCGUGAGUGAAGAAGUAUUUCGGUAUGUAAAGCUCUAUCAGCAGGGAAGAUAAUGACAGUACCUGACUAAGAAGCCCCGGCUAACUACGUGCCAGCCGCCGC